GUGGCAGUGGAUGGUGGUUGGUGGUGUGCAAGGGUCGAUGAUUUGCUAGUGGCUAUGAUAAUUGAUGACGGAUUGUGGCCAACAAUGAUGAUGAUGUUGCUACAUGCAGUGACCAACUGAUAGUAGUCGACAAUAAUACCAAUGACAGCAAGUGGUGGCUAGUGAUGAUUAGUGGUUAGUAGAGGUGGCAAUUAAUUAUGGUGGCUUUGUGGUGGGUGAUAAAAGUUAUAGUAGACAAAUGUCAGCUUUCAAAAAGUUGAAACCAUAUUUUCUAAUUACUAUAUUUUUAGGAACUAGUUGCAUGUCUCAAAAAACUAAAAUUAGAUUUUUUUCUAUUUUAUCAAAAAAAAGGGCAUGUCUAGUUUUUAUUCUUUUCUAA
rnacentral:lncRNA from 1 species